CGUUGUUCCCUAUGGCCCAGCGCGCUGCCGGCCCCUCCGCCCAGCCGCCGCCCCUCUGCCCAACCGCGCCGGCCGCCACCCUCUCCCGCGCCGGUCGCCUCCCACCUCCGUGACCGGCGACCACCCUCCCCCGCGCCGGCCGCCUCCCACCUCCGUGCGCCGGCGGCCACCCUCCCCCGCGCCGGCCGCCUCCCACCCCCGUGCGCCGGCCGCCACCCUCCUCCGCGCCGGCCACCUCCCACCCCCGUGCGCCGGCCGCCUGCCUCUCCCACGCCGACCGCGUCCCUCCCCCGCGUCGGCCACCUUCCUCCCCUGCUCCGGUCGCCUUCCUCCCCCGCUCCGGUAGCCUUCCUCCUCGCGCCCAGCCGCCUUCCUCCUGAUUCCCACCAGAGAACUCCCCCGUGCCGACUCCAUACACCCUGUCACCCUCCUCUCAGGUCCCUCCAUGGGACGUUGUUGGAGCUCUCCCUCUCUGUAUGGCUGGACCUAUGCAUCUUCCCACUCCGGCGAUGCGAUAUGGGGCAGAUGCGUGCAAGAAAUGAGCUGCUGGAUGACAUGGGCAAGCGCUGACGGCCGGCUUGGCGAUCUGCUCUAUGUAUUGCAGUUGACCUGUUCUCUCAAGCAGGAUUGAACUUUGCCAUGGUUGCAAUUCUCUUUGUCGGCUCCUUGUCCAUGGGGAAGCACCUCGGGCAGGGGUCGUUAGUGUGGCGUACUCGGCCGUGUUGUUGGUAUGGUCGUCGCAGAGUACUGCAGUGGCACAUAGUGGCUCUUCGAACCGCAAGACUUGCAUCCAUCAGCUGGCACCGAAUUCUGCUACUGCUCCAACCACUCAUGCCAAGAAUAGAGAACACAACUCGCAAGGUUCAGAGCAAUCUGUCAUAGUUGAUUCAGUGACUAGGUCUAGUGGAAUCCCCAAGGUGCGUGCAGAUUUAUGAAAUUGCUAUGUAUGGGGCGAGUUUUGUUUGUUGUGAGUAAUGUACUAAUGGUUAUCUGCUGCUCCUUUUUGUCAAGAAUUUGUAACGAGCUUCAGUUCUGAUUUCACUCUCUCACAGUACCAUUGAUCUUCAUAGCACACCACCUGUUUGUGUAAAUACCUAUGAGAGGAUAGCACACAUGAAUACCAUACAGUGAGAUGAAAAGGUGUGUUCAAAAAAUGUCAAACAACCUGAUCCUUUCAAACAUUUUGGAUAAGUGCAAAAAUGAACGUUUGCAAGUUCAAUACAGAUAGUUCAAUAAGGUAUUCAGAGAGCUUUUUAUAGAUAAAGGUUUCCUUGCAAUUAUCAUUUUUCGUGUGUGAUCAUUUCUCCACUUAGAGCAAUUUUCAUGUGUGAUCUGUACUUUAGGUGCUAAUCUAAGAAUUUGUGUCCUCGGGGAGUUCAUGUAUUACUACCAUAGGAGUGUGAUGUUCCUUUGCUAGGAGAUGGGUGCAAGAAAGAACCAAUUUAUUUUGCAUUCAGUCACCAUUGGAGUUGGUCUUGUGCACCACCAAAUUAACUUUCUGAAGCUACCUCUAUGGUUAAGAAAAGCACGCGAGCAUCCUUCUACAUAGUAAGUUCGUAGUCAAGAAGACAGGGAGUUCAGAAAAGAACGUGAACACUGAAAGACCACAAAAAACCAAAAACCUGCAUUAGGGGAGUUCUUCAAGAAGCUCGUGGCUAGCCGGCCAUGUUGUGUAUUCUUAUCAGUUCAUUGUCAAGAAGACAAGUAAUUAGUUUAUAUAUCUAGCCUGACGUGUUGUGUAUUCUGGUCAGUUCGUGUGUGUAUGUGUUUCCCUUGUGGCGUAUGAGAGGAAGCCGCUGAUCUGGUCCAGGCAUGCUCCUAUUCUCUCUUUUCGGUAGCACGAACAUUUAAAAGUUUGAAUGCUAGACCCCGGUAAGUUCUGCUUGCUAAAACCUCCUCUCUCAUAUUUGUUCCUGUUUUGUAGGUUGCAGCAAAAAACAAGAUGCACAAGUUCAUAUUUUGUAUGCUUUUCGGUUCAUCUACUUCCCUGUGAUGAGUCUGAUUUCCUUUGUGUUUCAUCUUCUUCAUAUAGCACAAACAAGUGCUUGUGGUUAUGCGUAGUCCAUGGGUUCUAGUAUUUGAUUACAGUCAGGCCACGAGUUACUAUUGUGGUACUCCGUUGCAAGAAAAAUGGGUUGUCGGUUCAGUUAUAGGCACCCAACUCUGUAGAUUUUGAAUUUUUAGCAUGGUACUUUAAGUUUGUUUUUUAUCAUAUAAUGUAAAAUUGUAAACAUGUUUCCAACGGUCUUUGCUCCCAGUUCUGAACUUCUUAUUCAGUCUGCUAGUACAGUCGUCGCGGUCGCCACCCCGACGCCUAGCCCGCCAACCCGCGUCGCGUUGCUCCGGGACACCCGAGCACUGCCGCGCCACAUCUCCGGUGCCUGACGGUGAGGGCCAGCGUCUUUGCCCGACAAAGCAGGCUACCAUCCCUCCACUGACAACGUGCAUGUCCAGCCGUUGGUGCAUCUCUCUCUGCCCGUGGAUGCUCGUGUGUUAUAGUUGGUUUCUCCCCUUCCUGUACAUGCUGCUACUCACCUUUUUAUCUCUCUGAUGCGUUGUGUUGCACUACUGCAGCUUGAUCCAGGAGGUGCUAGAUCAUGCUGACUGGAACUAGGAUGCAACAGGGUUGACGGAUCAUGCCGCACAAGCACUGGUGCUCUGCUUUCUUCUUACUUUGUGUUCUAAUUUGCUUUCUUCUUAUUUUCAGUUUGCGAGAUACAAAAAGAAGUUAAAAAAAUGUUGUGCCUGGAGUUCAUAUUAUUUGCUACCCCAUGAUGGAGAAGGUGCCUCAUGGUAAAAGCGUGCCAAGAUUUUCUAAGUACCCCAGACCCAUCCUGUCCUCUAUACAGAUUUUAGAGUUUAACACAUCAAUGGAAGUUUGUUCUCAAAACUGAAAUUGUUUUGCAUGUACUGAUAGUUAAGUUGUUAAUUGUUGGAGUGUUUCGUUCUUGCAGAAUAAAAAUAAGAUGUAUGCAUUGCUUCUUGGCCCAGCUUGAGAUGAACUCUCAGUGUCUUUAGAAGCAUUCAUGGUUAAAAAGCAACAACAACCUCCUCCGUUCGAGUUGAGCACUGGUCAUCGUCCAAGUUGAGCACUAGGUGUCGUCCAAGUUAAAAAAGAGUUGUAUGCACGUACAGAAGUUUGCUUUAGUGAGAAAUAUGCAUACUGUCUUCUAUAACUCAUUUCACUUCACGGUUUCUUCACUUGUUUGUUGUUUCCUAAUUAUCCUAAUUCCUAAAUGUUCUACUCAACUUCAGCGCCAUGCUCGGUCCAACUCCGUGGCUUCAGGGUGGCCGAGUUCAUGGCGACCAUCAGUUCGGAGACCUGCGUCACACUGCCCGUGUCGCUACCAUGGCCACCUGCAUCAUUGCGUGCUCCGUCAACAGCCUCUUGCACAAGGAAAAGCAACAGGAGUAGAGGUGUCUGAGAUGCUCUGUUCUAGCGAGGUGGCUGAUUAUGUUUGUCAGUUUGUAAUACUUUGGCCGUAGUGUAGUUAUGUAUCUUUUUCUGGCCGGAGCACGACCAGAGCUUAUGUCAGUACCAACUUUGAUUGUGAUGGUACUACAAACUCUAUAAAAA